GCAGCCCCAAUCGGGCGG
rnacentral:snRNA from 1 species